rnacentral:lncRNA from 1 species
GUUAUAACCAAAUUCUGAUUGCAUGGUUUCUAUUGUAGUUGGAAAAAUUCAUUUUUUGACACAUUUUCUUUAGCAACCAUCUUUUUCAUUUUGUGGUUGUUUUGUUUCUUUAGACAAUGUUAAGCAGUGUGUUUAGCUUCUCUACAAUAUAAGCAUAAGUCUUUUUAAUGUUAUCAAAUCUUUUCCUAGUCUAUGAAGAGUUUAAAAUGUAUCAUAUCAAUUUGCAUUGGUUCUGCCUUUAAUGAAUGUGUUUCUAAAAACUUAGGAGCUGCCAUCAUUAUUUGAUUUGUUCUUCUCCAACCAAAUCUUUAUUCUUGACAUCUUUCAAAUAAUUG